UACGGAGGGUGCAAGCGUUAUCCGGAUUCACUGGGUUUAAAGGUGCGUAGGUGGUUGGUAAGUCAGUGGUGAAAUCUCCGAGCUUAACUUGGAAACUGCCAUGAUACUAUCAGUCUUGAAUAUUGUGGAGGUCAGCGGAAUAUGUCAUGUAGCGGUGAAAUGCUUAGAUAUGACAUAGAACACCAAUUGCGAAGCAGCUGGCUACGCAUAUAUUGACACUGAGGCACGAAGCGUGGGGAUCAAACAGG
rnacentral:rRNA from 1 species